rnacentral:lncRNA from 1 species
UAAAAUGCAGAAGAAAAAAAACACACCAAACUCCGGCAGAAUGCUGAUUCUUCUAAAUGAGGUGGGCAACUUCUUUAUCAGAUGAAGAGGAGAGCAUCUAAGCAAAGUUUUAUAGGUAACAGUCCCUGGAGCUUCAUGCAUAUUCUAUCUUGCUCCCACAUCAUGCCAGAGUUGGUCUGAAAUCUGAAGAGCUGAGGAAAAUCAUUGUCUCCUUCACCUCCCACUGAAACUGAAGAGAAAAGCUCUGGUUCUCAGGAAGAACACUGUUGUGCUGUUUUACAGCUCCACUCUAACUGAAUUCACUUGGGAAAGGGAUUCCUCCCCUGCCACUUCUGGCUAUCAGGUUAUCUGAAGUUGGAUUUCUUCUGCUGAUCCAAGGAUCACCAUCCAUAGUGCAUGAUGUUUGAAUGUUGGCUUGUCCAUCCCUGGGUAUGUACUGAGCAUAAAUCCAAUGAGCUGUAGUGAUGCCCUCCUUGGGUUUGCUCAAAAGCCUUCAUUUUUUCUUUAUGUUUCUCUGUUUUUCCUUCACCCUCUCUAGCCUGGUGAAGACUUAAAGAAGAAAAUCAUUCAAUGGGGAGAAACAUUUCCAUUGCCCCUUUGUUUGUUGGUGUGCCUAGCUAGCCAGUGACUUGGGCAGAAUGAAGGGGUGGUCUGGGCAUCAAGAUAGCUUUGGGAGGAUUUAAUUGGUCAAACUGGGCAGAGAGCAUUACUUGGCAUGGGAUCAAUUUAUGAACCAUUGAGAAUCUCUGAGGCACUGCAAUUUGACACUUAAAUACAAUCUGCUCCAUAAAGGAACCUCACUAUACACUUUGCUGUACUGUUUGCCUGGGUAAACGGCCUGCAGAGUGCUUGCUACAUUAUUACUAGCAAAAUCCAUUUAACUUACCAA